GACGAACGCUGGCGGCGCGCUUAACACAUGCAAGUCGAGCGAUGAAAUCUUAACAGAACCCUUCGGGGCGAAGAUAAGACGGAUUAGCGGCGGACGGGUGAGUAACACGUGAGUAACCUGCCUUUUACACAGGGAUAGCCUCGGGAAACCGGGAUUAAAACCUGAUGAAACUAUCAAAUCACAUGAUUAAGAAAGUUAAAACUCCGGUGGUAAAAGAUGGACUCGCGUCCCAUUAGCUAGUUGGUGAAGGUAACGGCCCACCAAGGCAACGAUGGGUAGCCGGCCUGAGAGGGUGAACGGCCACAUUGGAACUGAGAAACGGUCCAAACUCCUACGGGAGGCAGCAGUGGGGAAUAUUGCACAAUGGGGGAAACCCUGAUGCAGCGACGCCGCGUGAGCGAAGAAGGCCUUCGGGUCGUAAAGCUCUUUUAUAUGGGAAGAUAAUGACGGUACCAUAAGAAAAAGCCCCGGCUAACUACGUGCCAGCAGCCGCGGUAAUACGUAGGGGGCUAGCGUUGUCCGGAAUCACUGGGCGUAAAGGGUUCGCAGGCGGCAAUGCAAGUCAGAUGUAAAAGGCAAAGGCUCAACCUUUGUAAGCAUCUGAAACCGUAUAGCUUGAGAAGUGUAGGGGCAAGUGGAAUUUUUAGUGUAGCGGUGAAAUGCGUAGAUAUUAAAAAGAAUACCGGUGGCGAAGGCGACUUGCUGGGCACAAUCUGACGCUGAGGAACGAAAGCGUGGGGAGCAAACAGG
rnacentral:rRNA from 1 species